rnacentral:rRNA from 1 species
GUCUAUGGCCACACCACCCUGAACAAGCCCGAUCCCAUCUGAUCUCGGAAGCUAAGCAGGGUCAGGCCUGGUUAGCUGGGAGACCACCUAGGAAGACCAGGUGCUGUAGGUG